UACGUAGGGGGCAAGCGUUAUCCGGAUUUACUGGGUGUAAAGGGGGCGCAGACGGCGAUGCAAGCCAGGAGUGAAAGCCCGGGGCCCAACCCCGGGACUGCUCUUGGAACUGCGUGGCUGGAGUGCAGGAGGGGCAGGCGGAAUUCCUGGUGUAGCGGUGAAAUGCGUAGAUAUACGGAGGAACACCAGUGGCGAAGGCGGAUUGCUGGACAGUAACUGACGCUGAGGCGCGAAAGCGUGGGGAGCAAACAGG
rnacentral:rRNA from 1 species